GGGACUCCGGCUCCCCGCAUGCCUCGCUGUGUGUUCUAGAGCUGCCACGGGUGGGACUACGGCUCCCAGCAUGCCUCAUUCCCCUUUCUGGACCUUAGAUAGCUGUCAUCUCCCCACAGGCCCUGCAAUGUUCUAGAGCUGCUGGAGCAGGACCUCCUUGUUCUCCUCCUCUACCUCCUGCUCCUCCCUGUCCUCGCGCUGGACGACGGCUCCCAGCAUGCCCUGCUGCCUGUCCUAGAGCUGCCAGGAGCUGGACGACACCUCCCAGCAUGCCCUGCUGUGCAUUCUAGAGCUACCAGAGGUGGACUACAUCACCCAGCAUGCCCUGCUGUGUGUUGUCGAGCUGCUGCAGCUAGACUAGGUCUCCCAGCAUGCCCUGUUGUGUGUUCUAGAGCCGCUAGAGCUAGGCUGGGGCUCCCAGCAUGCCCUGCUGCAUGUUCUCGAGCUCCUGGAGCUAGACCAGGUCUCCCAGCAUGCCCUGCUCUGCGUUCUAGACCUCCUGGAAAUAGACUACGUCUCCCAGCAUGCCCUGCUGUGUCUUCUAGAGCCGCCAGGAGCAGGAUGACACCUCCCAGCAUGCCCUGCUGUGUGUUCUUGAGCUGCUGGAGCCAGACCAGGUCUCCCAGCAUGCCCUGCUCUGCGUUCUAGACCUCCUAGAGGUGGACUACG
rnacentral:lncRNA from 1 species